UGGGGAAUUUUGGACAAUGGGGGCAACCCUGAUCCAGCCAUCCCGCGUGUGCGAUGAAGGCCUUCGGGUUGUAAAGCACUUUUGGCAGGGAAGAAACGGCGCGGGCGAAUAACCCGCGCAACUGACGGUACCUGCAGAAUAAGCACCGGCUAACUACGUGCCAGCAGCCGCGGUAAUACGUAGGGGGCAAGCGUUGUCCGGAUUUAUUGGGCGUAAAGAGCGUGUAGGCGGCUUGGUAGGUCUGCUGUGAAAACUCGAGGCUCAACCUCGAGCUGGCGGCGGAAACCACUUGGCUAGAGUCCGGAAGAGGAGAGUGGAAUUCCUGGUGUAGCGGUGAAAUGCGCAGAUAUCAGGAAGAACACCUAUGGCGAAGGCAGCUCUCUGGGACGGUACUGACGCUGAGACGCGAAAGCGUGGGGAGCGAAC
rnacentral:rRNA from 1 species